rnacentral:rRNA from 1 species
CCUACGGGAGGCUGCAGUGGGGAAUAUUGGACAAUGGGCGAAAGCCUGAUCCAGCCAUGCCGCGUGGGUGAAGAAGGCCUUAGGGUUGUAAACCCCUUUCAGCGGGGACGCGGUACCCGCAGAAGAAGUCCCGGCUAACUCCGUGCCAGCAGCCGCGGUAAUACGGAGGGGACUAGCGUUGUUCGGAAUUACUGGGCGUAAAGCGCACGUAGGCGGAUUUGUAAGUCAGGGGUGAAAUCCCGAGGCUCAACCUCGGAACUGCCUUUGAUACUGCGAAUCUCGAGUCCGGAAGAGGUGAGUGGAAUUCCUAGUGUAGAGGUGAAAUUCGUAGAUAUUAGGAAGAACACCAGUGGCGAAGGCGGCUCACUGGUCCGGACUGACGCUGAGGUGCGAAAGCGUGGGGAGAAACAGGAUUAGAUACCCUUGUAGUC